AUUGAACGCUGGCGGCAUGCUUUACACAUGCAAGUCGAACGGUAACAGGGUGCUUGCACCGCUGACGAGUGGCGAACGGGUGAGUAAUGCGUCGGAACGUGCCGAGUAGUGGGGGAUAACGCAGCGAAAGUUGUGCUAAUACCGCAUACGUACUGAGGUAGAAAGUGGGGGACCUUCGGGCCUUACGCUAUUCGAGCGGCCGACGUCUGAUUAGCUAGUAGGUGAGGUAAAGGCUCACCUAGGCGACGAUCAGUAGCGGGUCUGAGAGGAUGAUCCGCCACACUGGGACUGAGACACGGCCCAGACUCCUACGGGAGGCAGCAGUGGGGAAUUUUGGACAAUGGGCGAAAGCCUGAUCCAGCCAUGCCGCGUGUCUGAAGAAGGCCUUCGGGUUGUAAAGGACUUUUGUCAGGGAGGAAAUCCCUAGUGCUAAUAACACUGGGGGAUGACAGUACCUGAAGAAUAAGCACCGGCUAACUACGUGCCAGCCGCCGCCGUAACAC
rnacentral:rRNA from 1 species